GUAUAGGCGAUAGAAAUUUUAUCCUGGCGCUAUAGACACAGUGCUGUAAGGAAAAGAUGAAAAAAGACCAACCAAGCACGAAACAGCAAGGACACACCCCUAUACCUUCUGCAUAAUGAAUUAACCAGAGACAACUUCGCAAAGAGAACUAGAGCCAAGUUCCUCGAAACCAGACGAGCUACCCAAAAACAGCUAAAAGAGCACACCCGUCUAUGUGGCAAAAUAGUGGGAAGAUUUCUGGGUAGAGGUGACAAGCCUAUGGAGCCUGGUGAUAGCUGGUUAUCCAAGAUAGAAUCUUAGUUCAACCUUAAGUUUACCUACAGAAUCACUUAAUCCCCUUGUAAACUUAACUGUUAGUCUAAAGAGGGACAGCUCCUUAGACUCUAGGAAAAAACCUUGUAUAGAGAGUAAAAAAAAUCCAAUUUCCAUAGUUGGCCCAAAAGCAGCCAUCAAUUAAGAAAGCGUUCAAGCUCAACAUCAAACACCUAAACAAUCCCAAACAUACUACUCAACUCCUCGCAUCACAUUGGAUUAAUCUAUUAUUUCAUAGAAGCAACAAUGUUAGUAUAAGUAACAUGAAAAUUUUCUCCACCACAUAAGCCUACAUCAGACAAGAAUUUCACCGAUACUUAACAGUCCAAUAUUUACAAACACAAACAAAACUAAUACUACUCACACUGUUAACCCAACACAGGCAUGCUUCCAAGGAAAAGUUAAAAAAAGUAAAAGGAACUCAGCAAACUUAACCCCUCCUGUUUACCAAAACAUCACCUCUAGCAUUACCAGUAGUAGAGGCACCGCCUGCCAAGUGACACGUGUUUAACAGCCGCGGUACCCUGACCGUGCAAAGGUAGCAUAAUCACUUGUUCCUUAAAUAGGGACUUGCAAGAAUGGCACCACGAGGGUUCAACUGUCUCUUACUUUUAACCAGUGAAAUUGACCUCCCCGUGAAGAGGCGGACAUAAGAUAAUACCAUAAGAAGACCCUAUGGAACUUUAAUUUACUAAUGCAAUCUAAACCAUACAAAUCUGUGGACUUUAACUCACUACACCUGCAUUAAAAAUUUUGGCUGGGGUGACCUCGGAGCAUAACUCAGCCUCCGAACAAUCUAUGCUAAGGCUACACCAGCCAAAGCGAAUCAAUGCCCACAAUUGAUCCAAUAACUUGACCAAGGGAACAAGUUACCCUAGGGAUAACAGUGCAAUCCUAUUUUAGAGUCCAUAUCGACAAUAGGGUUUACGACCUCGAUGUUGGAUCAGGACAUCCUAAUGGUGCAGCAGCUAUCAAGGGUUCAUUUGUUCCACGAUUAAAGUCCUACGUGAUCUGAGUUCAGACCGGAGCUAUCCAGGUCGGUUUCUAUCUAUUCUAUAUUUCUCCCUGUACGA
rnacentral:rRNA from 1 species